AUUGAACGCUGGCGGCAGGCCUAACACAUGCAAGUCGAACGGUAACAGGAAGCAGCUUGCUGCUUUGCUGACGAGUGGCGGACGGGUGAGUAAUGUCUGGGAAACUGCCCGAUGGAGGGGGAUAACUACUGGAAACGGUAGCUAAUACCGCAUAACGUCGCAAGCCCAAAGAGGGGGACCUUAGGGCCUCUUGCCAUCGGAUGUGCCCAGAUGGGAUUAGCUAGUAGGUGGGGUAACGGCUCACCUAGGCGACGAUCCCUAGCUGGUCUGAGAGGAUGACCAGCCACACUGGAACUGAGACACGGUCCAGACUCCUAAGGGAGGCAGCAGUGGGGAAUAUUGCACAAUGGGCGCAAGCCUGAUGCAGCCAUGCCGCGUGUAUGAAGAAGGCCUUCGGGUUGUAAAGUACUUUCAGCGGGGAGGAAGGGAGUAAAGUUAAUACCUUUGCUCAUUGACGUUACCCGCAGAAGAAGCACCGGCUAACUCCGUG
rnacentral:rRNA from 1 species